rnacentral:lncRNA from 1 species
UCAUUUUAUGGGUGUUUUGUUUUGUCUUGUUUUUUAAUAGACUAGUCUCACUAUAACCGUGACUGGCCUGAGACUUACUCUGUAGACCAGACUGGACUCAAAUUUACAGAGAUCUCCCUGCUUCUGCUUCCUAAGUGCUGGGACUAAAGGUAUGUAUGACCACACCUGGCUUAGUCCUUUUCUUGUAACUGGUUAUAUUCCAGAUGGUCAGGGUUGCUCAGCCUUUCCAGUGGUGAGGAUUUUAUUUUUAGCCUUCAUAAACUAAGAGGCAAAAUAACAAGGAGUAAUGACUUUGGUCUUCAAGCAUCACAAACGUAUCUGUGUAUCCAAGGAAGACAGCAAUAGAUGUGCUAAUGUGUAUAGAGGAAAGCUCACCAAGCCUCAGCGUUAGAUAAAGAACUGCAGGCAACUAAGGAAUACUGAGUCCAGGGAGAAAUAGUUUUUUCUAGGGAAGUACUCGGCCAUUGGUUACCCAAUGUCAAAUGAUCAGCCUGAAAACAUAUCGCAUACAAGUAACACUGUAUGGACUGAGCAGGUUGAAUUUAUGUAUUUAGGAGUAUGUAUGAAUGUAUAUAUGUAUGUAUGAAUAUAAUAUGUAUGUAUGUAUGCAUGUAACAACAACAAAAACGGGCCAGGAAUCUGAAAGCAGGCGGGGGGGGGGGGGACACAUGAGAGGCUUUUGGGGGAGAAAAGGAAGGGGAAAUUAAAUAUCUGUAUUAAAGUCUCAAAAAAUCAUU